rnacentral:rRNA from 1 species
AGUGAACGCUGGCGGCGUGCCUAAUACAUGCAAGUCGAACGGAGUGGCGCACGGGUGAAGAAUAUAUAGCUAAUCUGCCCCUUGCUGGAGGACAACAGUUAGAAAUGACUGCUAAUACUCCAUAGCAAUGGAUGAGACUAUAUCUUAUAAGCUAGUCGGUGGGGUAACGGCCUACCGAGGCUAUGACGCGUAACUGGUCUGGGAGGAUGAUCAGUGACAUUGGAACUGAGACACGGUCCAAACUCCUAGGGGAUGCAGCAGUAGGGAAUAGUGCGCAAUGGGGGAAACCCUGACGCAGCAACGGCGCGUGGAGGAUUAAACUUUUCGGGGCGGAAACUCCUUUUGUUAGGGAAGCGGUACCUAACGAAUAAGCACCGGCUAACUCCGUGCCAGCAGCCGCGGUAAUAC